AUCUAACAAACUGAGCAACUACCAGGAGUCCAACCCUGUGCACAGGACUAAGCUCCCCAAUGUGGCACAAGAACCUCUGAAGCUGAUGCACUGAAUAUGUUUUCCAUUUUAGGCAUUCUGCUAUAAGCAACAGCACAUGGACUAAGACAGUACUAGAGAGACAGUUGAAAGCAAGAUGGAUAAGGUCCCGUCUUUGCACAGAGAUGAAACUCGAGCCAGGACAAAGGCGGAGUGAGCGGGUUCUGGCAGUGAAGCAUGGCGCAGGCUGCGCUGCCUGAGGACAAGGAACUAAGGCAGCGUCAAGGCACCAGGUGAGAACCAGAGGACGACUGAGCAGCCAGCUUCUCAGCUGACAAGGGAAACUGGUGGACAAUGGAAGUAGGAAGAACAAGCCAACUGGAUUCCAAAGUUUCAUUCCAGAAGAGGAGGAAUUUCUCUGUUCAGAUUUGGAUAAUAAUCCCGAAAGCCACAAUCCUGAAUGCCAUAAUCCCAAAUGCUGAAAGAUCAAAAUCCCUAAAGGCUUGAUCUCUAACAUCUAACUGAAUCCCCAAAGCAUAAUGACAGAUUUGGAAUUAGGGGCGAUCAAGGAUUCUAAAAGUAAAUUUUAAGGUGUUAUCAAUCAAGUUUGUGUAUUUGGUGGAAAAGUCAAAUGAGUGGAUUGGCCCUAUGAUACAGCAACUAUGAAAACUGCAGUAUAAAAAUGCAUCGUUUGUCUGCCUUGGCAUUCUUUCUAGCUGUUGAAAUUCCAGGAGUUUCCAAUAAAUUAAAGCCACAAUUGCUGAGGAAGCCAGUGAUGUUAUUGACUGGCUUGAAAAUAAUUAUGUGCAUGGUAGGAUAAGAGGACACUUGUGUCACAGUGUUGCUGUUUGAUCACAAGUAUUGUUUCUACCAAAUCUGUGGUCUGUAUAUGAGCACACGCAGAAUGGAUUUCCAUAAACCCCAGAUAACAUAUAAACAUGCCACAGAAGAUGGGAAAAUUUAAUAGGAAAUGCCCAUGUCAAUGUAUCAUAGAAGAAUUUCAAAAAGAGCAGCAUGUAGAGAAUGAAUGUGAAUGCAUUCUCUGAGGAAAGCCAUGCCCUAAAAGAAAAAAAAAGUAGCUAUUCAUCCUGAUGCAAGACUGCAAAAUAUAGUUAAUGAUCGUGAAAACCGACCAGCUCUUACGGACUACAUCAGUGCAAUUGUCCAUAAUCCAGCCCUGUAAUAUACUUUUACAUGUUGAAUUUUCUUUUGUAGCUGUUGUUCUGGACUUUGUCUUUCUUUUAGUUUUGUUUUAUUUUAUUUUAUUUAUUUAAGUUUUAUUUAUUAGUUUUAUUUUAAGUUGUCAGCAUUAUUUCUCACAAUUUGCUAUGCUAUGUAUUUCAUAUUCACAUUAUUUCCAACACUGGAGGUAUCAAUUGUGUAAAGGCUUUUAAAGAGUUCUAAUUUGUUUUAUGCAUUUUUUACAUAAUUGACUCUACAAAAGAGCAUGAUCACGAUGUCGACUUUGUGUAUAAUCAUUGUGCAUGUAUGUAAAAUGCUGAAACUUCCUUGAUAAGUAGGGAGAUGUCCUUUUUGUACACCCGCAUUUGUGAAAGGUGAAAUUUCUCAAGAUCUCAGCUCUUUAGGUGACUGCAUAGCAGUGGUGACUCAUCGAGGUUUUUGGUCUCUUCCGGAGACUUCUGUCGUGGUAUUUCAGAUGGCCACAUUUGCAUAAGCUAUUUCUUUACGCAUAUGGUUCAUUUGCUCAUAACUGUUACACCCUUGUGACUGCCGUUAGUAUACCUGCAUGUUUAUGCUUGUGAAAAUAUGUAUGUUAUUAUUUCCUAUUUUAUUGUGUAAAUUGGCCUAUAAAGUGUUCGGUCCUGUUGUUUCUCAAAUAAAUCUCUUUAUAAAAAUGUAAAUAAAUAUCUUUUAAAGAA